UAACGCGUGGAUAACCUGCCGUAUACAGGGGGAUAACACUUAGAAAUAGGUGCUAAUACCGCAUAAGCGCACGGUUCCGCAUGGAACAGUGUGAAAAACUUCGGUGGUAUACGAUGGAUCCGCGUCUGAUUAGCCAGUUGGCGGGGUAACGGCCCACCAAAGCGACGAUCAGUAGCCGGCCUGAGAGGGUGAACGGCCACAUUGGGACUGAGACACGGCCCAAACUCCUACGGGAGGCAGCAGUGGGGAAUAUUGCACAAUGGGGGAAACCCUGAUGCAGCGACGCCGCGUGAGUGAAGAAGUAUCUCGGUACGUAAAGCUCUAUCAGCAGGGAAGAAAAUGACGGUACCUGAUUAAGAAGCCCCGGCUAACUACGUGCCAGCAGCCGCGGUAAUACGUAGGGGGCAAGCGUUAUCCGGAUUUACUGGGUGUAAAGGGAGCGUAGACGGCAGCGCAAGUCUGGAGUGAAAUGCCGGGGCCCAACCCCGGAACUGCUUUGGAAACUGUGCAGCUCGAGUGCAGGAGAGGUAAGCGGAAUUCCUAGUGUAGCGGUGAAAUGCGUAGAUAUUAGGAGGAACACCAGUGGCGAAGGCGGCUUACUGGACUGUAACUGACGUUGAGGCUCGAAAGCGUGGGGAGCAAACAGGAUUAGAUACCCUGGUAGU
rnacentral:rRNA from 1 species